AUGAUGUGUCAAUCAUAUA
rnacentral:siRNA from 1 species